rnacentral:rRNA from 1 species
ACGCACGCUGGCGGCGUGCUUAACACAUGCAAGUCGCACGGAAAGGCCCUGCUUUUGUGGGGUGCUCGAGUGGCGAACGGGUGAGUAACACGUGAGUAACCUGCCCUUGACUUUGGGAUAACUUCAGGAAACUGGGGCUAAUACCGGAUAGGAGCUCCUGCUGCAUGGUGGGGGUUGGAAAGUUUCGGCGGUUGGGGAUGGACUCGCGGCUUAUCAGCUUGUUGGUGGGGUAGUGGCUUACCAAGGCUUUGACGGGUAGCCGGCCUGAGAGGGUGACCGGCCACAUUGGGACUGAGAUACGGCCCAGACUCCUACGGGAGGCAGCAGUGGGGAAUAUUGCACAAUGGGCGGAAGCCUGAUGCAGCAACGCCGCGUGCGGGAUGACGGCCUUCGGGCUGUAAACCGCUUUCGCCUGUGACGAAGCGUGAGUGACGGUAAUGGGUAAAGAAGCACCGGCUAACUACGUG